UCCCCGUUAUCCGAGGCGGUCUCCCGUGAACAUUCAACACGGAAUAGGGGUUGCGCUCGUUACCCGACUUAACGGUACAUCUCACGACACGAGCUGACGGCAACCAUGCAGCACCUGUGUAGCACCCUCGAAGGCGGCCACUGUUUCUAGCGGCUUGCAGCUACAUGUCAAACCUUGGUAAGGUUUUUCGCUUACCGUCGAAUUAAACCACAUGCUCCUCUGCUUGUGCGGGUCCCCGUCUAUUCCUUUGAGUUUUAGUCUUGCGACCGUACUCCCCAGGCGGGAUGCUUAAUGCGUUAGCUUUUUUGACCGACACCGGGAGGGUCGAUACUCCCGAUAUCUAGCAUCCAUCGUUUAGGGCGUGGACUA
rnacentral:misc_RNA from 1 species